ensembl:lncRNA
UAAAGGAAUAGUUCAUUCAAAAAGAAAAAUUAACUCACCCUCAGGCCAUCCAAGAGCAUUGCUUUGUUGAUUUUGUUUCUUCAUCGGAACAGGUUUGGAGAAGUUAACAACACAUCACUUUGUCACCUAUGGAUCCUUUGCUGUGAAUGGGUGCCGUCAGAAUGAAAGUUUGAACUGAUAAAAACAUCACAACAAUUCACAGGUAAUCUACACUUAAGCUGUUAUCUUACACACAGGUAAGUCCACCUAAUGAUUUUUGAAGUAAAAAGCUGCAAGUAUAUAAGAAACAAAUCAAUCAUUAAGGUGUCUAAACUGGCCAAAAUAUAAUUCCAUAAUCCAUAAUUAUGCUCUCUUCAGUGAAAAUAUCCCACUUCUUGUCCUCCAACAUCAAAAUUCACCAACAUAUUUGUUUACAAUUGUUUUAGGCAGUUUUCGCUUGUAAACAUGCUUGAUCUGUGCAUAUUUCCCUCCUGAUUCAAUUAUAGAUAUGCAGAGGAUCCACUUGUGAGCAAGCAAUGUAGGGUUACAUUUCAGCAAAUCUGUUCCAGUAAACAUUACAAACUCAUCUGUGUACAUCUUGGAUGGCCUGAGGCAAAGGAAAAUCAGUCUCCUCUUGGCUUAUAUCAAUAUCCUACAACAAGAAGGCCUAAGGCAAGAUGUAGGACCCAUGUAAAUAUCGGAUCAGCUUUCCAGCGCUUGAGAGAACUCAAGGAGCGGAAGGCCUGCGAUCGGACGCCGAGGUUGCUUUGUUUCUUCUCAAUAGGUGAGUAACACCGUGUCUGCGCCAUAACAGCUGAAGUCUGAGUAAUUCAUUUUUGGGUGAACUAUCCCUUUAAAUCCCAUUUUACUUGUAUUUUGUUAAUUUUCAGAUUCAACUUGCAUUAGACAUUAAGACAUUAACAGAUAUUAUCAAAAUUAUCAAACAGAAAUAUUACAAGACAGCUACUUCUUUCUGCUGAAUCCACUGACGUUUUGAGCGUUUCCAUACUUUCUGAUGUUUCAAUGGUCUUGUAACAAAAGGUAGAGCUUUUGAGGAAAUUCAGUGUACUUACAAGGACCUGGACACUUUUUACAAGUCUGUAU